rnacentral:rRNA from 1 species
UACAGAGGGGGCAAGCGUUGUUCGGAAUUACUGGGCGUAAAGGGCGCGUAGGCGGCCUGCUAAGUCGGACGUGAAAUCCCCGGGCUCAACCCGGGAACUGCGUCCGAUACUGGCAGGCUUGAAUCCGGGAGAGGGAUGUGGAAUUCCAGGUGUAGCGGUGAAAUGCGUAGAUAUCUGGAGGAACACCGGUGGCGAAGGCGGCAUCCUGGACCGGUAGUGACGCUGAUGCGCGAAAGCCAGGGGAGCAAACGGG